AUCGGCUUUGGAAUUGAAAUCGGGGUUGGUUCCGGAAUUGGCUCCAGAAUAGACUCGGUUCCGGAAUCGAAAUCGGCUCCGGAAUGGAAAUUGACUCUGAAAUCAGAAUCGUCUUCGAAACGGAUUCGGAUUCGACAUAUCCAUAAGAAUAGGCGUUUGGGUCCAAUGAUGCUACGUAUUAAUAACUGCAAAGAAUCAAAAUUUAUUUGUAAACGAUCCAUUCUCCUGGAGAUGCCCGAACUGAUUUCGCUUCUGAAAACCUGAUUCCGUUGCCGGAGCGAAUUGCGUUUCUAAGGUCGAUUCCGAUUCCGGAGCCGAUUCUAAUUACGGAGCUGAUUCCGAUCCCGGAAUCGAUUCCGGAGCCGACUCCCACCACUAAUUGACACCCUCUCGAAACGAUUUCUUCACUCCUCGGUACGUGCGUGUGUGUGUGUGUGUAUGUGUGUACCUGUGUGCCAUCGUAAUAGAAAUAGGAUACAUUUUUUUUAAAUUAUUACCUUUGACACCUGAUAAAUGGAGGCCGCACUGGCAGAAAGAGAAGCCUUGUCAACUUGCCAUAUUCCUUGUACACGACACUGGUAAGGUAAGCGAUUUUCCUUCCGUGCUUUUGCUUGUGAGUAUGUUCCCUUCGUCCCCUAUUACAUACCUGCUAGGCCCAAGAGGGCCUUGUGAACCACCACCCCAUUCCACAACGCAGUACGCAGUGCAGAUUACCUAAUAGGACAUUUGUCGUUUUGUAGGCGUGUGGUAUAGGUACUGGCACUGUCUUUUACGGACUCUACCCUGUUAUUAUUGUUAAUUUUUUAUCACAAAAACACAAAAGCAAAAAAGCUUUAAAUUAGGUUUUUUUACUCCAAAAAUUCUACCUGUUUCGUUUUAGCUUAGGUAUCCCGCAGGAUAACAAUGAAAACGAUGGUACCUUGGAAGAAAAUCAUUGCCGAGGGAGCAGAAUCACAGAGGAAACCUUCCAAACCACUGGGAGUAAAAGCCCUGAUGAUCCUUUUGGCUCGUUUGCAUAACCGUGACGCACGAGCAAAGGCGUCAGAUCAGAUGAUCCCCGAACCGGGCUGACAAACUUCCCCCCGUAAGGAUGAAAAAAGAGGAAGAAAGCAACACAUACACACACAUUCUCGUGAUCCGGUUGGUGAUCGGUUCGAAGAUCGGUUAUUGGCUUCCUUUUUUUGGCAUUCCACUAUCCAUCCAGCCCUGUGUGCGCCCCCCUCCCCCCCCAAACAGGACUCAUGACACGCCAGGUCCAUUACGGGAUGCCGAAAUUCGCUUGCCUGUGCGCUAGAAGAUGGAAGAAGGGGCAUGGUUGAUUAAAUCAUGUACGGUUGUCGGAGCAGUUUCAGGUAAGAGCGGGUAUGAAAUAUUUUCUGCAAGCAUACAUUGUGAGAUGCAAAGGGAUGCAACGGGGGGAAUCUUGCCCUGAGAGGGUUUAAUAUUUACUUUUAAUUGUAGGACGCGUUUUGGGAUCUUUUUUAUGUUCGUCAAAACGCUGCAACUACUACGCAAACGGCUCUGCUACAGUGAGAGCAUCUUGCUUGGGAAACAAGACUUUCGGGAGAAGAUGAUCUUCUUCCAACCGUGGGCUGCGGAGGAUAAUGUGUUUGGGGCAAACUUGC